rnacentral:rRNA from 1 species
GAUGAACGCUGGCGGCGUGCCUAACACAUGCAAGUCGAGCGGGGUUGUUUGGAAGCUUGCUUCGAAACAACCUAGCGGCGGACGGGUGAGUAACGCGUGGGCAACCUGCCCUGUGCAGGGGGAUAACAUGCCGAAAGGCAUGCUAAUACCCCAUAAGACUAAAAUGUCGCAUGACAAAUUAGUCAAACAUUUAUCGGCACAGGAUGGGCCCGCGUCUGAUUAGCUAGUUGGUAGGGUAACGGCCUACCAAGGCAACGAUCAGUAGCCGACCUGAGAGGGUGAUCGGCCACACUGGAACUGAGACACGGUCCAGACUCCUACGGGAGGCAGCAGUGGGGAAUAUUGCACAAUGGGGGAAACCCUGAUGCAGCAACGCCGCGUGAGCGAAGAAGGCUUUCGAGUCGUAAAGCUCUGUCCUAAGGGAAGAAUAAUGACGGUACCUUAGGAGGAAGCCCCGGCUAACUACGUGCCAGCCGCCGCCGUAACAC